AUUGAACGCUGGCGGCAGGCCUAACACAUGCAAGUCGAGCGGAGCGGCGUACGGGUGAGUAAUGACUAGGGAUCUGACUGCAAGUGGGGGAUAACGUCCGGAAACGGGCGCUAAUACCGCAUACUAACAGAUGAACCUAGGUCGGAUUAGCUAGUUGGUGGGGUAAAGGCCUACCACGGCGACGAUCCGUAACUGGUCUGAGAGGAUGAGCAGUCAGACGGGAACUGAGACACGGUCCAGACUUCUACGGGAGGCAGCAGUGGGGAAUAUUGGACAAGGGGCGAAAGCCGAAUCCAGCCAAGCCGAGUGUGUUCAGAGGGUCUUCGGAUUGUAAAGCAAUUUAGGUUGGGAGGCGUUACCAACAGAAUAAGCACCGGCUAACUUCGUGCCAGCAGCCGCGGUAAUAC
rnacentral:rRNA from 1 species